AACGAACGCUGGCGGCAUGCCUAACACAUGCAAGUCGAACGAGACCUUCGGGUCUAGUGGCGCACGGGUGCGUAACGCGUGGGAACCUGCCCUUAGGUUCGGAAUAACUCCCCGAAAGGGGUGCUAAUACCGGAUAAUGUCUUCGGACCAAAGAUUUAUCGCCUUUGGUUGGGCCCGCGUUGGAUUAGCUAGUUGGUAGGGUAAAAGCCUACCAAGGCGACGAUCCAUAGCUGGUCUGAGAGGAUGAUCCGCCACACUGGGACUGAGACACGGCCCAGACUCCUACGGGAGGCAGCAGUGGGGAAUAUUGGACAAUGGGCGAAAGCCUGAUCCAGCAAUGCCGCGUGAGUGAUGAAGGCCUUAGGGUUGUAAAGCUCUUUUACCCGGGAUGAUAAUGACAGUACCGGGAGAAUAAGCUCCGGCUAACUCCGUG
rnacentral:rRNA from 1 species